rnacentral:rRNA from 1 species
AAAACAUCUUCUCUUGAAUUUUGAUAUGAGAUAUGUCCUGCCCAAUGAUUUAUUUAAUGGCUGCAGUAUUUUGACUGUACAAAGGUAGCAUAAUAAUUAGUCUAUUAAUUGUAGGCUUGUAUGAAUGGUUUAACGAGAAAUUGACUGUCUCAUGGUUAAUAUUUAAAAUUUAAAUUUUAAGUGAAAAUGCUUAAGUUUUUUUAUAAGACGAGAAGACCCUAUAGAUCUUGAAUGAUGAAUUUUAUUAGGUAUUUUAGAAUAUUUAUUGUUUCAUAUUUUUACUAUUUUUGUUGGGGUGACAUUAAGAAAUAUUUAACUCUUAAUUAUUUUAUACAUUUAUUUAUGUAUUUUUGACCUUUAUUAUUGUUUAUAAGAUUUAGAUACCUUAGGGAUAACAGCGUGAUUUUUAUUGAGAGUUCAUAUCGACAUAAUAGAUUGCGACCUCGAUGUUGGAUUAAGAUUAGUUUUUAGGUGUAGGCGCUUAAAUAAUAGGUCUGUUCGACCUUUAAAAUCUUACAUGAUCUGA